rnacentral:rRNA from 1 species
AUUGAACUCUGGCGGCAGGCCUAACACAUGAAAGUAGAACGAGUGGCGGACGGGUGAGUCAUUUCUGGGAAACUGCCUGAUGGAGGGGUAUAACUACUGGAAACGGUAUCUAAUACCGCAUCCCAUCAGAUGUGCCAAGAUGGGAUUAGCUUGUUGGUGGUGUAACGGCUAACCAAGGCGACGAUCCCUAGCUGGUCUUAAAGGAUGACCAGCCACACUGGAACGGAGACACGGUCCAGACACCUGCGGGAGGCAGCAGUGGGGAAUAUUGCACAAUGGGCGCAAGCCUGAUGCAGCCAUGCCGCGUGUAUUAAGAAGGCCUUCGGGUUGUAAAGUACUUUCAGCGGGGAGGCGUUACCCGCAGAAGAAGCACCGGCUAACUCCGUGCCAGCAGCCGCGGUAAUUC